UAAAAGCCCUGUAUUUUUCUAACCACUCUUCUUUUUUUUAUCUCUUCAAAAAAGACUUAGAAGAAGACAACACCAUACUUCCAAAACCUACCAGCAUUUUUAUUAUUUUAAGAUUGUAGUGACCUGUCAAUCAUGUGCUUUUCUACGUUUAUGUCUUUUUCUUUUAUUAAUUUCUUCUCUUCCUUCCUUGUCUCUCCCUUUCUUUGAUAUAACUAUUAACUAUAUCAUGCUCGCAUUCACUUCACUUGUUUCUGUGAGUUUGGGAGAAAAAGAAAGAGAGAGAUCAGAGGCAGAAAACUUGAGUGUUUUGCAGCCUUGUUUGAUUGUUGAAUCAUGAGAAAGUAUAGGGUCAUCGAAAGAAGGAAAAGGGGUGUUGGGAAUGAAGUUUGAUCCAAGAUCCUUGUCUCUUUCUCUUUCUCUUUUCUCUAUCUCUCCUUUAUAUUUGCUUGAUUUGUGUGUGCAUGCUUGCUUGUGUCUCCUUUAUAUAUUUAUAUUAAAGAUAAAAAACCUUCUUCAGUUUUGAUUGCUAAAUCAUGAAGGAAAAGAAAGAGAAAUAGGAGAUAAAGAUCAUACCUACCUUGAGGAAGGGAAGGGUGUUUUUGUGUGUGUUUGAGAGAGAGAGAGAGAGAGCAAGAAAGGAUGAUAUCAGAUAUGAGAGAAGAGGGAGAUCAGAGCUGGCUAGGGAGGGUAAGACUUAAAAGAGUGUUUUCUUUGAAGAAAAG
rnacentral:lncRNA from 1 species